AUUGAACGCUGGCGGCAUGCCUUACACAUGCAAGUCGAACGGCAGCGCGGGAGCAAUCCUGGCGGCGAGUGGCGAACGGGUGAGUAAUAUAUCGGAACGUGCCCAGUAGUGGGGGAUAGCCCGGCGAAAGCCGGGUUAAUACCGCAUGAGACCUGAGGGUGAAAGCGGGGGAUCGCAAGACCUCGCGCUAUUGGAGCGGCCGAUAUCAGAUUAGCUAGUUGGUGGGGUAAAGGCCUACCAAGGCAACGAUCUGUAGUUGGUCUGAGAGGACGACCAGCCACACUGGGACUGAGACACGGCCCAGACUCCUACGGGAGGCAGCAGUGGGGAAUUUUGGACAAUGGGCGCAAGCCUGAUCCAGCAAUGCCGCGUGCAGGAAGAAGGC
rnacentral:rRNA from 1 species